AUUAUUCUUUUAUUUUAUGAUACCACUGUGAUACUUCACUAAACUCUGUUAUUCACAAUCUUUCAGGGAGUAAGUCACAUAGUUACGAUGUGUAAUCUUAUUCUUUUCUUCUAUGAUAUCAUUUAUGUGUUUUUAGACAGAUACAAGUAUGCUGACUGCAGACAACAUUCCAAAAAGUUUUUUAUUUUAAGUUACUACUUAAAAUAAAUAUACUAUUAUUCAUUUUUUAUAUUUAUUGGUGUAUGCAUGUACAUGUACAUACUUAGGUGCAUAUGAGAGAGCUCUCAAAGAACAAGGAAGUGCUGAUGUAGCGUAUGCUCGUCUUAUGUUACUGGGAUCAGCUGGUACUGGCAAGACGUCUCUCAAGCGUUCAUUAAUGGAAGAACCUUUCAAUCCUCAUACUACAAGCACCAUUGUAUCUGAUAUAUCCUCUGUACGACCAUUUGGACACGAGUGGCAGACAAUGAGAGGAAAAAAAUGGAGGGAAGCUACAGAACAAGAUGAAAUUGAGGAACUUGCACAUUUGUUUAAUUCCAGUCAUUCUAAUCCAUCCUCACACUGUACACCUGAAUCUAACACACAGCAUUCUCAUGAUGAAUUAGAAUCUACUAGUUUAAUAGCUUCCAUUUUGAAUGUAGAAAGUCAUAUCCAAUCAGUAUUAAAAUAAGCUAGCUCAACUUCUCCGACACUUGAAGCACAUGUUCAACCAUUUCUUCAUAUAUGGGAUUGUGGUGGUCAGCCAGUGUUCCUUGAGAUUCUCCCAGCCUUCCUCACUCCUCGUACAAUGUUUCUCCUCCUGUUUGAUGCUUCAAAGGAUAUCAGAGAACCAUGGCAGUCACGUCAGAAUACUCCUGAUGGUGAAGUGCUGUUUGGUGAGGUAGUGAAUGAAAGCACAAGUGAUCUUAUCGCCAAAUGGAUGUCUACAAUACACAGUCACCUCAUAAAGCACAACCAAGAUGAUACUUCUCCUAGCCUCUACUGUAUUGGCACUCGUGGUGACAAGUUGAAGGCAAAAUGGAAGAGAGAUCAAGUAAAGAAGCAAAUACAAUCUCUGUAUGAGGAGAAAGAGUUCUCAGAUCUUAUUAAAGAUGUGCUAAUUAUUGAUAAUACGACCUCAGGCAAGGGAGAAGGAGAAGAUUCAAGUAUUACAAAAUUACGUGGAACUCUUGGUAAUUUUAUCACUACGUUAGUCAUCAAAAUCCCUGUCAAUUGGGUUCUUUUUCACAAAAUUCUGCAAGAGCUUAAGCUAAA